rfam:Myotis lucifugus cont2.10582, whole genome shotgun sequence.
GAGACAACUCUAUGGACCAGGACUUGCUUUAGUGGGGCUUUGGUGCUCACUGAGUCUGUCCCUUGAUGUGUCUCU